ensembl:lncRNA
CCCGGCCCGAGGACAGCGGCCCAGCUCCCAGGCCCGGCUGGGUGUUUCCAGCCUUCCGAGCUGGCGGUCAGGGCUGGGCCUGCAGCUCCCAGCCAGAGGCGAUUCCCGGGGAGACCCGCGGAGGGUCGGCCCGCAGCUGGGGAAGGAGAGGUGGGGAAGGCACCAUGGCGCCCACUGCUGGGCACAUGCAGCCCGAAGAGGGCCGAAAGGUGAAGGAAGGAGACUCGAGGAGGACAGAAGGAACGGCCGGCCGGCGAAGUGCGACCGGGUCGCUGCUCCCAGCAGCCGCUCCUGGGAACUGGUCAGGACUCACGUUCUCAGCCACCCAGACCUGCGAGCCCUCUGCAGACUGCAAGCUGCGUUUGAGAGCCGCGUUCUCAUCAUCCCGGUUGCAGGACUAGUUAAAGACUUGGUUGAGGGGCCCUCAUGACAGCCACAGGUCAGACUGUCCUGGCUCCCUCUUCGCAGCUCUGACCAGAACUCUGGGCCACGUAAGAGAGCACCCGGCACCAACAACACACCGAGCCCACGAUAAUAACCAGAAGGGUCCAGCGUCCUGCUUCCUCUAGAGAAGGGAAUCACAAGGUAUGCUUCUUGUCCAAGGUUUGUCCUAUCUGUUGGUCACCAGUGAUCAGCAAAAUAACGACAGUAAACGAGUACCCUUCCAUCUUUUUCCAGAUAAGAAUAUGCUAAUAUAACCAAUGGCAUAUAUUACAAAUCACGGUUUACCCCAAAGUCAGUAAUUUACACAGUAAUUUAGAGGCAACAAUUAGCCUCGGGAAUUAUAGAUGAAAAUCACCAGGAUGCACUGUUGAACUGUGCCCUCCAUGCAAGCAGUGGUCUGAAGAACCACCAACAAUUUAAUUGACUAACAAUUUAAAAGUCAGCGUAGGCCCCUCAUGGACCAUCGUUUUUUAUAAAGUCAUGUUACUAAGUACCCCAAGUGUUAGCUCCUAUCCACGGCAAAUGAUUCAUUUAUUAAAUUUUAAUUUUCUGGGCCAGGAAAGUUUAUACAUGGUGGAUUUCCUUUUCUGUUCCAAUUAGCAUGCCCUUCUACUGUCCCUUUAUUUGCGUUUGCCUGGCAUCUCUGCUUACUCCUUUAUUUUCAAUUUUAUCAUUUGUUUUACCUCUGUUUUUUUUAAAUACUAGUACAUAUUACCUAACUGGAUUUGUUUUAAGCCAACUUGAUGUUCUCUAUCUUUUAAUGGAUCAAUUCAGUUUAUUUAUAUUUAAUGGUAAUUGAUAAUUUUCACUGCUAUGUGUGUUUAUUGUUUAUUUUAAUUUUAUCCCUUUUCUUACUUUUAGUGGUUUGACCAAGAAGUAAUUUGUUCCUUUUCUCUUGUUAAUUUUUAACAGUUUCAUUGGGGUAUAAAUGAUAUACAAUACGAGACAUAUUUUAAAGUGCACUGGUUCAUAAGUUCUGACUUAUGCAUUUGGCCUGGAAUUAUGACCCAAAUCUAGAUAAUGAACAUAUCCAGCCAUAAAAAUUUCCUAAUGCACUUUGUAAUUUCUUCCACCCCAUGCUUCAAUUCCCAAGCUACUGGUCAACUUUGUUAAUAUAGUUUGCACCUUAAAGCAUCUUUAUAAUAUAGUUUGUACGUGUGUGUUUGUUUGGCUGCUUUCAGUCAGCAUUAGUUGUUUUCUUUUUCAGAUUCACCAGCAGCAUCAUGUGUGACAGCACCCCCUUCCUUUGUAUUGCUGUGUAAUAUUCCAUUGCUUGGAUAUAACCCUGUUGAUUUAUCCAUUCACCAGCUGAUGACUGUGUGGGUUGCUGCUUCUUUGUGAUGUCAUGAGUAAAGCUGCCUGAACACUCAUGUGCAGUCCUGUGUGUGGACCUGCACUUUUGUCUCUCUUGACUACGUGCUUAGAGUUGAAAUUGCUGGGUCAAUGCCGAAGAUUCCUCUCGGCCCUGGCUGUUCUCUUCAGUUCUUGCCAGCGAGAUCCUCUCAGGUAGGAAGGAGGUCCAGGGCGGAGGAAAACGCACGGACUGAGGCCUGGGUGAUGUGUGCUCCUCAAAGGCGCCAGCCAGAGGAAUUGUGGAAAACCAGAAAUACGCAUCAGCGUGACAUCCUGCUCUCUACUAGAAAUCAUAACACAUCUUUGUGAGACCGUGUGGGAGGGGCAGGCUUUGCAACUGGAGCGGCUGAAGGCUCACAUGGGAAUGCAGUGGGCUGGAAGCCACAGGUUGGAUGCAGGGGACUUUGGAACAUCGGUUUUCCCUUUGGUAAGAAUGUUAAAACACUGUAAAAGUAAACAUAUAUUAAUGUAUGAAGUAAAACUUUUGCUAAUCUUUAAAAACUUUAAAAAAUUUUAUUAGUGCAUGCUUCCAGUACGUAAUGAUUGCAUUCCUUGUGAGGAGCUGGUAAUGCACAUAGCGGAUCUUAAAUUCUUUUUUCAUCUCCUUUCCCUCUCCUCCCUCCUUCCAUUGCUUGAUUCCCAAAAUAUAAGGAGCAAAAUAAAAGACAUAAUAGGAAAUAGGGAGAUGGAUCUUUUGCAAAAGAAAAUUUUGCUCCUCAUCUUUAAGAUGAAAUGUUUGACUUAGGGGAAAUGCUGAGCCGUGGGGGACCUUAUGGUCAUGGCUCUGGGUCCUGGGAGAGGUUCUGUCCCUUCUCAGGUGUGGACACAGAUGCUUGAGUGGAAAGAGUGAGAAAGCUUGCUCUGGCCAUGGUGGCCCUGGAAGGGAAGGAGAGAGGGAGAGUUAUGGAAGGCUGUAACUGUGCAACGGACUCAGGGAGAGAUGUUGCUAGGCCAAGCCCAUGAAGACACCCUCAGGAGCUUCCAAAUGGGGACAGGACUGUGUACCCAUCCACCCACCCAUCCAGCUGUCACUGGGUAGAGGGGGCAGUUGCCUUGUGUGAGAUGGAAGCCAUACACAAGACUAGCUCUAAAACGGAAGUAAAAUGAAACUUUAUUAUAGGAAAGAAACACGUAGCCAGGCUUGGUGGUGCACGCCAGUAGUCCCAGCAUUCUGGGAGACUGAGGCAGGAGGAUCCCAAGUUCAAACUCAGCCCAGGCAACUUAUCAAUUUAGCAACUUAGCAAUACCCUGUCUCAAGAUAAAAAUAUAAAAAUAGGCCAGGGUUGUAACUCAGUGUGAGGGCUCUGAGUUUAAUCCUCAGUACAUGAAAGAAAGGAAAGAAGGAAGGACAGAAGGAAGGAAAAAAAGUGAGUGGAUGAAUGACCGAGCUGGCUGCUCCACAGACAGAGCAGUCUGAUGGGGUCCGAUCAAUGGCCACACAUCCUGCUUCCUUAUCUCAGGGAGCACAGGGGCUUGCUCCUUGGGUUAACCAUUUGCUUUCUUUCCCCUUUUUAUCUCCAAAAUUUCAGCUGCCCAUUUGUGUUUUACCAGGGUGCUUCGAAGUCCCACUGGUGUCCCGUCUCCCGUCCAUCCAUCCGUCCAUCCAUCUUAUAAAUGCCUCCUAUCAGAAGUAGUAAUAGAUGAAGAUGAUAAUGGUGGAAACACCCUGUUCUCAAGGACUCUCGUGUUUUAGUGUAGGAGUCCCUGAAGUUCUUCCUGCCCCAAAAUAUAUAAAUGAAAAGCGUUUGCUCUGUCUCGGCAGUGCCAGACGCUGUCCCAAGUGUGUGCAUAAAGUGACUCAUUCGAUCCUCAUGGUAGCUCUGUGGAUGCAGACACCACUGUUGUCUGCGCUGCCUGGCUGGGGAGCAGGGGAGCAUCCCCAGCUGAGUCGUCGUCUGGUGAGACGAUGUGUUUAUAAAAACCCUGACACAAGGGCGUGUGGGACACAAGCGCCAUGGGGCUGAUUCUUUCCAAGGAAGUGGAGACCCUGAUUCCAGAUGCAAGACUGACAGGGGAUGGGACCCCAGCGUGGACACUGCUUCCCUUUCCUACUUAUUGUCACAGUCACAGAAUCUGACCAGUUGUGGACAAGUUCGAGAGGAAGCACUGGCACCGUGAGAGGCAGGGAACUUUUAUGUGCCUGAAAUGACCUGAUAAUUUCUGAAAACCAGCCCUGCCUCCGUCUCUCCCACAGUACCCACCCCACCCCAGCUUUAUUGACAUGUAACUGACAGAUAAAAAUGAUGGGGUGGUGGUUGUAAACCAGUGCAACCACUGGUACAGAGCACAGCGUGUGAUUCUGCCUAGCUCUGCUCCUAGGACCUGUGCAGGGGGUGUUACAGGCAUUAUAGGGGGAAGUUACAGGGGAUCCUGGUUCAAUGAGUUUGGUCAAUGAACUUUAACAAAAGGUUCCUUAGAGGGUUUUCUCAGAAUCUUUUUUAUGCUCAUGUGUUUUGUAAAUCUCAGAGGGGAACUGCCUUUCAGUGGUUUCCAAAUUUAUUUACCCACUCCACCCCUCUACCACCACCCCCAUAGCAAUCCUCCUGCCUCAGCCUCCCUAGUGCUGGGAUUACAGGCAUGAGCCGGCCUCCACUAAAGUCUUGCUAGCUGCAUUUUAACCCUCCAAUGGAAACCUCUGGGAAGGGAGGCCCCAGUGUACAGUUAGAAGAGCCCACUCCUCCUGCUGGGGUGUCUUUUCAAAUGCUGUGUCUACCUAGGGAUGGGCGUCCCCACCCAUACUUUCCUGUCUCUUUUCUUCUUCCCACCUUCCUCUCUGGGGCCCUUCCCUGGGCAGCUCCAGGUUCCCCAGGUCCUCCUACCUUGUGGGCUUCAGAACCAAGAACAGCACCUGCCUCUUUUUUAAUUUUGAGACCUGGUCUCGCUAUGUUGCCCAGCCUGGCUUUAAAUUUGCAGCCCUCCUGCCUCAGCUUCCUGAGUAGCUGGAAUUGCAGACACAAACCACCAUGCCUGGGAAUAAGCACACAUUUGAGAGCCUAUUAUGUGCAAGGUGCGGCAGAGGGCAGGAGAGAUGAGCAUUUGGGACUUUCACUCAAAGAGCUGAUCACUGACUGAGGAAGAGCUCACAGGUACAAGGCAGCAUCCAGAUCCCGCGCAGUGCGGUGCAGUGCAGUGCACACUCGGAGGACUGACAGGCUUCAGCAGCUUGGCAAGGAACCAAAGGUUGAUUGCAGGAUGCUUUUCCCAGUGCUGUUUAAUGAACUUAGGGACGUGUUUUCUGGAAGAAGGCAGUGUUUGUUCCAAGUCAGAAGUUGCAGCCUGACCUGGAGCCUCGAUCUGCAAAAGUCAUGUGCUUUGCUGCCAGAAGGGGAGAGAGAAUACCGUGGUACAUGGUAUCACCCAGACUAGGCUAAGAAAUACAAAUGCUUUGUCCUCAAGCAGCACCCACAAUGGAAGUGGGGCAGUGGGGCCGCUGAGGGCACAGUGUGGAGGGACAGCACCUCCUUCCAUCCCUGUCCCCCUUGGUGAACUAGAGCCACUGCUGAGCACUUAACUUCUGCGUGCCUUGGUUUUCUCUCUUUCUAAUGUGGGGAUAUGAAGUAGUGCUUGUGUCAUAGCUUGGCAUGAGUGUUUCGCAUGUGAAACACUUAGAAUAUUUCGAGUUUCUCUUUUGGUUAUUUCUUUUUUUAUUGCUGUGCAACAAAUUACUCCAACAGGGCCUGGGAUUUACCUCAGUGGUUUCGCCACCUGCCUCGAAAGUGCAAGGACCCAAGUUCGAUCCCCGGUACUGAAAAAAAAACCCCGAACAAACAAAAAACCAAAUUACUCCAACACUUAGUGGUCUACAAUGAGAAUUAUUAUUUAUUGCUGGGCAUGGUGGCACACACCUGAAAUUCCAGGCCUUGGAAGGCUGAGGCAGGAGGACCACAGGGAGUGUGAAGCCAGCCUAGGCAACAUAGUCAGUUCAAGGCCAGCUUUGACUGCAAAAUAAGACCCCAUGUCAACAAAAAAUCAUUUAUUAUCUCUGCUUUCAGAGGGUCUGGAAUUUGGAAGCAGCUUAGCUGGGUGACUGGGGCUCAGGAUUUCUCAUGAAGUUGUGGUCAGAUAUGUGCUGGUGUGGAGGCUCCUGAGGUGUCACUGUCCCUUGUUUGUCCCACUCUUUGCGGUGUGGGCGGGGACUCCACCAGGGCACGGUCUGAGGAGGUGGCUCCCUGAGGAGGGGAUCACACAGGGCUGGCUACAUCCAGGCCAGGAAGCGCUAUGCCCUGUUUAUGACCAGUGUGAGGUGAAGGACACUUAGCUAAGAGCAGUGUGAGCGCCUGCAUCCACUCAGACCUCAGCAGGGUUUCCGGAGAGAGUUUGAUGAUGUGAGUCUUUCUCCGAGUCACACACCAGCCCUCGUGGCCUGGGCUUUCCAGAGGAAAGGGCUGAAAGCAGGACGAGGCCCAGGGAAACAGGAGGAAGGAGGGCACGGGAAGCAGGUUGGAGAAGCCAGCAGGAGGGCACGUGGUGCAGGCUGCUGCUCUGGCCUUGUAGGAAGGGACAGAAUGGUCCCAGCUUUGUCUUCCUCCCGAAGGCCGCUCAUCUGCCCACUGGCUGAGGUCCCCUGGGGCUGCCACCCUUGGCUCCCCCUGACUCACACAGCUGGGUGGGGCCAGAGGAGGGCUGGGGGCCUGGGGGACACAGUGGCUUGGCGCCUGGGUUUGUAGGAGCUGGGGCUGCUGGCCGUGGAGUCCCUUCCUGCAGAAGCCAUGCGGG